AUUGAACGCUGGCGGCAGGCCUAACACAUGCAAGUCGAGCGAGCGGCGGACGGGUGAUUAAUGUCUGGGAACCUGCCUGAUGGAGGGGGAUAACUACUGGAAACGGUAACUACUACCGCAUACCAUCAGAUGUGCCCCGAGGGGAUGAGUUAGUAGGUGGGGUAAUGGCUCACCUAGGCGACGAUCCCUAGCUGGUCUGAGAGGAUGACCAGCCACACUGGGACGGAGACACGGUCCAGAAUCCUACGGGAGGCAACAGUGGGGAAUAUUGCACAAUGGGCGCAAGCCUGAUGCAGCCAUGCCGCGUGUGUGAAGAAGGCCUUCGGGUUGUAAAGCACUUUCAGCGGGGAGGCGUUACCCGCAGAAGAAGCACCGGCUAACUCCGUGCCAGCAGCCGCGGUAAUUC
rnacentral:rRNA from 1 species